GACGAACGCUGGCGGCGUGCUUAACACAUGCAAGUCGAACGGAAAGGCCCUUCGGGGUACUCGAGUGGCGAACGGGUGAGUAACACGUGGGUGAUCUGCCCUGCACUUUGGGAUAAGCCUGGGAAACUGGGUCUAAUACCGAAUAUGAUCAUCAGCUUCAUGGUUGGUGGUGGAAAGCUUUUGUGGUGUGGGAUGGGCCCGCGGCCUAUCAGCUUGUUGGUGGGGUAAUGGCCUACCAAGGCGACGACGGGUAGCCGGCCUGAGAGGGUGACCGGCCACACUGGGACUGAGAUACGGCCCAGACUCCUACGGGAGGCAGCAGUGGGGAAUAUUGCACAAUGGGCGCAAGCCUGAUGCAGCGACGCCGCGUGAGGGAUGACGGCCUUCGGGUUGUAAACCUCUUUCAGCACAGACGAAGCGCAAGUGACGGUAUGUGCAGAAGAAGGACCGGCCAACUACGUGCCAGCAGCCGCAGUAAAAC
rnacentral:rRNA from 1 species